rnacentral:misc_RNA from 1 species
GAUGAAGAACGCAGCGAAAUGCGAUAAGUAAUGUGAAUUGCAGAAUUCAGUGAAUCAUCGAAUCUUUGAACGCACCUUGCGCCCUUUGGCUAUUCUGAAGGGCAUGCCUGUUUGAGUAUCGUGAACACCUCAACUCUCAUGGUCUGCCAUGAUGAGCUUGGACUUUGGGGGUCUUGCUGGCCUACUGUCAGCUCCUCUCAAAUGAAUCAGCUUACCAGUGUUUGGUGGCACCACAGGUGUGAUAACUAUCUACGCUUGUGGUUUUCUGCCAGGUAACCUCCAGUGAUGGAGGUUCGCUGGAGCUCACAAAUGUCUCUCCUCAGCGAGGACAGCUUUUUGAACGUUUGAUCUCAAAUCAGGUAGGACUACCCGCUGAACUUAAGCAUAUCAAUAAGCGGAGCA